GACGAACGCUGGCGGCGUGCUUAACACAUGCAAGUCGAACGGAAAGGCCCUGCUUUUGUGGGGUGCUCGAGUGGCGAACGGGUGAGUAACACGUGAGUAACCUGCCCUUGACUUUGGGAUAACUUCAGGAAACUGGGGCUAAUACCGGAUAGGAGCUCCUGCUGCAUGGUGGGGGUUGGAAAGAUUCGGCGGUUGGGGAUGGACUCGCGGCUUAUCAGCUUGUUGGUGGGGUAGUGGCUUACCAAGGCUUUGACGGGUAGCCGGCCUGAGAGGGUGACCGGCCACAUUGGGACUGAGAUACGGCCCAGACGCCUACGGGAGGCAGCAGUGGGGAAUAUUGCAGAAUGGGCGGAAGCCUGAUGCAGCAACGCCGCGUGCGGGAUGACGGCCUUCGGGUUGUAAACCGCUUUCGCCUGUGACGAAGCGUGAGUGACGGUAAUGGGUAAAGAAGCACCGGCUAACUACGUG
rnacentral:rRNA from 1 species